rnacentral:rRNA from 1 species
CAGCCAUGCCGCAGGGACGUGUGUGAAGAAGGCUUUCCGGUUGAAAGGUACUUUCAGUGGGGAAGGAAGGCCUUAAAGUUAAUACCUUUAAGGAUUGACGUUACUAGCAGAAGAAGCACCGGCUAACUCCGUGCCAGCAGCCGCGGUAAUAC